UACGUAGGGGCGAGCGUUGUCCGGAUUUAUUGGGCGUAAAGAGCGUGUAGGCGGCCAGGUAGGUCUGCUGUGAAACUCGAGGCUCAACCUCGAGACGUCGGCGGAAACCAUCUGGCUAGAGUCCGGAAGAGGAGAGUGGAAUUCCUGGUGUAGCGGUGAAAUGACGCAGAUAUCAGGAAGAACACCCGUGGCGAAGGCGGCUCUCUGGGACGGUACUGACGCUGAGACGCGAAAGCGUGGGGAGCGAACAGG
rnacentral:rRNA from 1 species